GCUCCUAUAGCUCAGUUGGUUAGAGCGCGGUGCUUAUACAAAAGUAUAUUUAGGCGGGGUCCCACCCGUAAGGGCACGCCGAGGUCAUGGGUUCGAGACCCAUUGGGAGCA
rnacentral:tRNA from 2 species